AUAUCUAGAGUUUCUUGAGAGUGGGGAACUUUCCAGUUUGGCCUGGGGUUGGUGGGACUUUUGCAGACUGAUCUUGGGGCAAGCUCAGAGAUUGGUAUGAUUCUUUUCCUGACCCUGGUCAUAGACUUGGGAUUAAGUCAGGGUCAGAGUAUUCUUUCCUUGGCUCUGGUCUCAGGGCCUUCAUGGUCAAGUUCUUUCCUUGGUUCUUUUACCCUACACUUAGCAUUACCUCUCCUGGCCCUGUGCCAUUCAACUAUGUAAUUACACUUGUGUUUAUCUAUCUCCAGGGACUACUGCAAAGGCAUCGUCCCAACUCUCCCCUCACUAAGCAGGAUCUGGAAAUGAACAAGGUGGAGAAACUGACCAUUCAGCUACAGAUGAUGACCUGUGAGAGGAAUGAACUGCUUGGAGUCUUGGACCAUUAUACCAACAAUAACUUGAAAAGCAGGAGUACUGAGUCAACAGACCCAUGGAUCUGAUGGGGGCUGGAUCACCUGGAGGUCAAUUGGUGUUUGUCUCCCUGGAAACAGAUGUACACUGGAGAGAGCCUGUAAUCAGCAGGAGUGUGCUGCAUGCAUAUCUACCCAAAGGUAGGAGCUUCUCUCUAAAGGUGAUGUUCUGGAAGGAAAAUCAAGUGGCAGGAGCACACACUGUCCUCCACAACUAACCCUCCUCCUGCUAAG